AUCCCUCAGCCCCCAUUGUUUUUUGUUAAGCAAUUGGUUUGGGUCUGGAUUUGGGCGUCUGCCAGUGCGCUUUUUCAAGUGCUUGGCUCGCCUUAAAGAGAUUAGCUGGACCCCAUUCCGAGCUGGUUCAACUCGACGUGAUAAUUUCAAUCGUCGAGGUAUGGUCUUCGGACCAGCCAGGUGUAGGAAUCCGGUCUGCUUCCAACCUUCGUCUGAAGCCAGCAAUGGUGUGAAGCGGAAUUUUUUAAUG
rnacentral:misc_RNA from 1 species